UACCCUUUGUACACACCGCCCUGUCGCUACUACCGAUUGAAUGGUUUAGUGAGGCCUUCUGACUGGCGCCGAUACUCUGGCAACAGAGCGCCGGAUGCCGGAAAGUUGGUCAAACUUGAUCAUUUAGAGGAAGUAAAAGUCGUAACAAGGUUUCCGUAGGUGAACCUGCGGAAGGAUCAUUACCGAUGAUAUUCGUCCAACAACUACACAGUUGUACCUUGUGAACCGUACCAAACUAUUCAGGGGUCGGCUUGUCCGUUAAAUGGUCGUCGGACGCGAGAGAUCGCGGCCGCUCGACCGGCCCCGCACGCGUUUUGUUUUUUAUAAACAUAUGUGUACCUGUCUGACCAAGCGUUGCGGCCGGCCCAAGGGUCGGUCGCGGCAAUUAGAGCAAAAAACGAGAUACAACUUUUGACGGUGGAUCUCUUGGCUCACGAUCGAUGAAGAACGCAGCCAUGAGUGUCGGAUAUCAUCCAACGCACGCCAGCGUGCGGAAUUGAGGCGUCACGGUCCGUACUGCACGGACCGUGUCCUUGAAAGUCAGAGAGACUCGCCGCGUCGCGGGAAGAUUCCCCGUGCACACCAGCGGAGGCUAAAAUGUCUUUUGCCCUUCGCGUGCCGGGAAGUCGCCGCGUGCGGCGGUCGUCGUCGGGCGAACUUUAAUUAUCUUGACCUCAGAUCAGGCAAGGCUACCCGCUGAAUUUAAGCAUAUUAAUAAGCGGAGGAAAAGAAACUAACAAGGAUUCCCUCAGUAACGGCGAGUGAAGCGGGACCAGCUCAAAUUUGAAAUCUCCGAUGCCUGCAUCGGCGAGUUGUAGUUGCGAGAAGCACUUUCUAGGUGGAUCGGUCGUGCCUAAGUUGCUUGGAACAGCACGUCGCAGAGGGUGACAACCCCG
rnacentral:rRNA from 1 species